rnacentral:lncRNA from 1 species
GCAGAGUGUGGGGUGGGGAUGAACACAAUACAAAACUCAGCAAAGAUACCCAUCUCAACUAAAAGUUGAAGAGAGACAGCAGUGAAAAGAGAAAGCAAGAGCUGGAAGAAGAAUAAAGAACAGAGCAAAAGGAAUACCACAGAAGUGAGAAUAUGCACAUGAUGAUGAUCUGUUGUAUUACAGACGAUGUUAACUUUUUUCACUCGGUGAAGAUACUAUCUGCCAGAUCUUUCUGCUGUAAAAUCAAUUAAUAAGAGUUUCAUGAGGUGUCACUUUGAAACUACGUAAAUAUCCUAUUCCUCCUCAAUUUUUCACUCACUAGUUUAAGCAUUCAUUGAUGAUUCCUGCCUAAAUCAAUUGUUAAUAUGAAUAUUGCCAAAUAAUUUUUCUAAUUCCAUUAUUCCUUCUACAUUUAUUAGUUGACUAUCUACUAUAAAGUAGACUUUCUUUUUACCCUAUUUACUUAUGUAUUUGUUUAAAUUUGUAUAGAUCCAUGGAUUCUUAUUUUAUUCGAUGUGUUAUAAUCUAUUACUAUCAUUAUUUAUUUUAAUGUCAAUUUUUCCCAGAUUUGGCUAGUGGGAGCCCUUUCAGUUUAGCUCCUAUAUCCUUUUAACUUGUCCCUAUCAUUUUUUGAGAACUUCCUUACGUUCUGGCACAAGAUGUCCUAGGUUUAUCUGUACUUCCCUUGUUCUAACCCUGGAAUCAGCCAUUGCUCCAAGGACACCUGGUUCCUUUACAUGGAAGAUGGUAUUUAAAAACCAAGAUCUGGGGGCGAGGUAUGUUCAUUGCUAUGGAGGUAUUGCUUCUAGGCCCUCUCAACAGAAAGCUAGAAAAUAGAUGUACGUACAUACAGUCUCACAUAGACACACACAUCUAUAGUUACUUCUAUAUUUAUCUACU